GGUUGCAUGGUGUAAUGGUUAGCACUUCAGAUUCUGAUCCGCAUCAAAAUUCUGGAAAUCUGAGUUCGAUUCUCAGUGCGACCU
rnacentral:tRNA from 1 species